UGUGAGGGGACCGGCACCGGGACCGCGACCGGCACCGGGACCGCGACCGGCAACGGGCUCUUCUGGCGGAUCGCUGCCCUCACAGCCGGCUGCGGCACCGGGAGCCCUCCCGGUGUCCCCGCAGCAUGCCCCGCCACUGCAGCAGAUGCUGCCGAGCAAAGUUGUGACAGAGCUUGACCACAGAGAGCAGCAAAUCCGAGUGGGACGAAACCUGAGCAAAUGAGAAUCCUGCUCCCUGCUUGAAGAGAGAUCACCUUAUAUGGGAACACCAUGGACAAGAGGAUGAAUGCAUCCGGCCGGCUGCUGGGACUCUGAGCCUGGGAUUUACAAGUUGGACCUUGAGGGCUCUGCACCUUUCCAGCCUCACCUCCUGUGUGUACAGUGUCAAUGGUGGCCUCACAGCUCUCCCUGCCCCCUGGACCAGAUGCACACAGUUGGCUCAGAACACACUGAGCAGCUGCAGCUUUGUGUGACUCUGCACAGCAGGAGAGGCACAGCCAAGGUGUGUACCAUGGACUGGCUCUGCCGAGAGGAGCAGUGACUUCAUCACUCCUUUUUGAUCCCAGCACCUGAUGCAAAACCAGACUAAGACUAGGUAGAAUGUCUUAUCUCAUAUUGUCCCAAGCAAUAUGAGAUAAGAAGCUGGAGAUGUCUGUGGCCACUGAUGACCCCAGAACCUGCUUCACCACUGCCCUGUGCCCUGCCUGGCACUGCCAGCCCUGUGGAGUGGGCGUUGUGUGCGUCUGCCCAGCCCAGAAGAGUGUUGCACCUUCUUUGCACUGGUGUGAAGUGUUGGGGGUGCAGAGUCAGGCCCAGAGGAGGUUGGCCUGAUGCUGGCUUCCAUCCAUUUAGCCCCCGUUGUCCCAGCAUUGCUUCAGACUGGCAAAGCCUGGUAGUACUAAGGUUUGCUACUAUGGCAGCAAACAAGACCAAACAAGAUCAUUGAACUGGUGUUAGACCACCUUGGAGGGUGGAUGUGGUUGUGGGAAUUCCGAGGUGGGAGUGUGGCAUAGCAUGUUAUUUAACAAGGAGGGGUUGGUUGGGCAGAGUUAACUAAGCUUCCUUUAGAAAACACUGUUUUCUUUCUUGCCAUGCUGUCUUGUUUUGUUUCUUGUCUGAAAAAUCCAAAAUAACUCCAUAGAUUAGUCUCAGGUUUGCACCAGUGUUUCUGAGAUUAGAGCCUGCUCUGUAGAGCCUCCAGUUCAAGGUCAGAUGAAAUGGCGAGUCACCCCUUGCAGCAGAUUCCAAGAACAAUAAGAUGUUUUAGGAAUAUGCCAUAACUGAUUGCCUCUAAAGGGCAAAUUUUGCUCUGUGCUGCCAAGCAAGGGCUGUUCUUAGUGAUAAGUUUGCUGAACAAAGUCUGCUGAGGUUCGUGGAGGGCAGCAGGCCAGGACAUUGCGCACGCCAAUCCCAAUCGCACCAAGGAUCAAGUCUGCAGGAAAUCCAAGUGGCCUUGCUAAGGUUCUGUGCCCACCUUCUGCUACUUAGAGCUGGGUUCCCACUGCCACUUUCCAACAACAUUGUUAUCCCAAAGCACUGUUCUCCAGGAGGAAAAGGCUGAAAUGCUGUCAAAAUAGAGGAU